AUUGAACGCUGGCGGCAGGCCUAACACAUGCAAGUCGAACGAGUGGCGGACGGGUGAGUAAUGUCUGGGAAACUGCCUGAUGGAGGGGGAUAACUACUGGAAACGGUAGCUAAUACCGCAUACCAUCAGAUGUGCCCAGAUGGGAUUAGCUAGUUGGUGGGGGAACGGCUCACAAGGGCGAAGAUCCCUAGCUGGUCUGAGAGGAUGACCAGCCACACUGGAACGGAGACACGGUCCAGACUCCUACGGGAGGCACCAGUGGGGAUUAUUGCACAAUGGGCGCAAGCCUGAUGCAGCCAGGCCGCGUGUAUGAAGAAGGCCUGCGGUUUUUAAAGUACUUUCAUCGGGGAGGCGUUACCCGCAGAAGAAGCACCGGCUAACUCCGUGCCAGCAGCCGCGGUAAUAC
rnacentral:rRNA from 1 species